rnacentral:lncRNA from 1 species
CUGUCACAACAGCCUCCAAAGGACAGAGAGUGAACCACAGAGGAAAUUCGAAUGCAUGUACAGUGGGUUCCACUACCAGGGAGCCUGAGCUUGGGACAAGAGGAGCUCAUCACCACCAGAAAAUACUACCAACAUGCCCAAGAGUUUGUUUCCCAUACUUUUAAAGGAAAAAAAAAAUGGAUGGUUCUGAAAUCACCUGGGUUUGUUUUAUUACAUUAUAUCUUCUGGCAAGAUCAGUGAUGGCAGAUGUGAUUCAGCAAUAGAAGCAUGGCUGUACUGGAGGGGACUGACAAGAACGUUUGCAGUCGGUAGUGUUCCUCAGUACUCAUCAAUUUGUGAGCCACAAGAAAUUCUAGCUCUGGAGGCGGAUGGUGGGAGUGAAGCGGACCAGCCUGCCAUUCCCUGUUGCCUACCUGUGGUGGCUCUGCCCAGUCAUCGGUGUCCACUGUUCAGCAUGCAUUCUUUAUGGAC